UGGGGAAUAUUGGACAAUGGGCGAAAGCCUGAUCCAGCCAUGCCGCGUGAGUGAUGAAGGCCCUAGGGUUGUAAAGCUCUUUCACCGGUGAAGAUAAUGACGGUAACCGGAGAAGAAGCCCCGGCCAACUUCGUGCCAGCAGCCGCGGUAAUACGAAGGGGGCUAGCGUUGUUCGGAAUUACUGGGCGUAAAGCGCACGUAGGCGGAUACUUAAGUCAGGGGUGAAAUCCCGGGGCUCAACCCCGGAACUGCCUUUGAUACUGGGUGUCUAGAGUCCGGAAGAGGUGAGUGGAAUUCCGAGUGGAGAGGUGAAAUUCGUAGAUAUUCGGAGGAACACCAGUGGCGAAGGCGGCUCACUGGUCCGGUACUGACGCUGAGGUGCGAAAGCGUGGGGAGCAAACA
rnacentral:rRNA from 1 species